GCCACCCAGCAGUGAUAAGUAGUACUUUAAAGAAUUUUUACUUACAGUGCAUUCGGAAAGAUAUCAGACCCCUUGACUUUUUCCACAUUUUGUUACGUUACAGCCUUAUUUCAAAAUGGAUGAAAUCGUUUUCCCCCCUCAUCAAUCUACACACUGUACCCCAUAAUGACAAAGCGAAAACAGGUUUUUAGACAUUCCUGCAAAUGUAUUAAAAAUGUAUCAGGUAUUUCAGUUUUUUAUUUUUAAUACAUUUGCAAAACAUUUCUAAAACCCUGGUUUUGCUUUGUCAUUAUGGGGUAUUGUGUGUAGAUUGAUGAAGGAUUUAAAAAAAAAAUACAUUUUAGAAUAAGGCUGUAAUGUAACAAAAUGUGGAAAAAGUCAAGGCUUCUGAAUACUUUCCAAAUGCACUGUAAUUUUUUUUUUUUGGGGGGGGGGGGUAUCUGUACGUUACUUUAUUAUUUAUAUUUUUGACAACUUUUACUUAACUACAUAACUAAAGAAAAUAAUAUGGUUUUUACUCCAUCCAUUUAACCUGACACCCAAAAGUACUCAUUACAUUUUGAAUGCUAAGCAGGAAAGAAAAUGGUCCAAUUCACGCACGCACUUAUCAAGAGAACAUCUCUGGUCCUCCUAACUGCAGUGCUACUCCAAUUUCCUCUGGUUGUCCCAAGGUCCAUUGGAGAAUGCUGCUGAUAGGGCAGACCAUAACCUGUUGUGGACCAUGCAAGUACUUUUUGGGAGCUAGCUAUUUGUUUUUCUUACAGGCAGGUGGCUCACCCCCCAGGCUACCCACCACCCUGUCUUCACCCUGCUGGCCCGCCUGGAUCUGUCCCUGCUGCCCUACCUCUCCAUGUCUCCGGCCCACAGCGUCAACCUAUUGAGCAGCCUGCCAGGGCCACUGUCUGCAGGUAGGACUACAACUUAACGCCAAGGUCAGGAGUUCUCCUGGUCAGGCCACCUAGUCAGUGAAAACUCCUGGUCCUUCUCAUCUACUCAUCAUAGUCAACAUGAUUAGUCUGCUGCAUCCAAUAGUGCUGUAACUCUGGUAUUCUGCAGUUACACGUCUGUUAAUGGACCGCCGCAACAAUAGUAGGCUUGAAGGUCAAUGUUACAUUAAAAUCUCCUAUCAUCAUAUCUAAGCCAUUAUGACGCCAAUGUUGAUGAAAAUUCGCAAAUCACCUUGUUUGGAGGUACACAAUAAACUCCCUCCUCUCGUCAUGAGCUGUCAGGCCGUUACCAAGAACCACAUACCGGAUUUUUAACGGGGUCGUUAGCAUUAGGAAUAAGGCACUUUCUUGCCCCAUCUUAGCGCAAUAUCUAGGCCUCAGAUAAGAAGGAGACUACAGCAUCCAUAAAGUGACCAUUAGACUUGCCACCUUUCAGACUGAAUACGUUUGUAGGGGCAACAGUUUUGAUUUAAAUUGAUCAUUUAUCGCUCUCACCUGCCAAUAGAAAAUCAGCUAUGUGCUACCUUUUUGUAGCAUUUCUGACAAAGCUCAAACUCAGAGUUCUAACACCAGGUCGAGCAACUUGGUUGCUUGGAAACUCACAGGUGCUGCUUCACCAGGCUGCCAAUCAUAAGAAGUGUAUGAGAACAAACCUAGGCUACUGUAGAUAAGCUAGCUAUAUGGUGGUAUUUAAGCUGAGGUUUAUCAAUAAAUGCAAACAGAUCUUUUGAUUAGCUAGGUAGCUAUCUAGCUAAUGUUAGUGAGUGCAGCAGCUAGGCUCUGUAGCUAGCUAACACCAGUCAGCUGAAAGCUAGCUAGAAAGGCAAAGAAAGGUAAUUAGCUAUAUUUGGUUAUUUAAGGUUUUUACAGAAAUUCUUUCAUCCAUUAGCUAGCUAGCUAGAGCCAGACAACUACAGCUGACCUCAACACAGAAGCUAGCUAAUGUUAGCUCACGUACAAAUUCCAGUGCUACAUUUUUCCACAAAACAUAGCUAGCUAGUCUGCCUGACGCAUUUCGCUGUCAGAAAGGACACAACUCAAACUGAGAAUUGCUAGCUAACUCCACAUGUAACAGUGCCUUAGUUGUACACUACUGCAGUGUGCAAAUGCAUGCUUUUUAGCAUCAGAAAAACUCACCAGUUUCUAGCAUCCAUAAUAAAUUCCAGUACACUCCUUCACUUGUCUUCUUGAAAUCUUUAUCCAAAUGUGUGCCAAACUAGCAAUUCUGCCAUGUGUUGGAUCUUUGUCAACAACUCUGCCGUGUACAGCUCCAGGGGAGGGGGCUUGGAUUAUAUAAAUGUAUAGGAUGCAUAACUCUGCAACGCUUUAGGCUACAAACAAGCUGUAAAAGGCACAGGA
rnacentral:lncRNA from 8 species